AAGUCGUAACAAGGUUUCCGUAGGUGAACCUGCGGAAGGAUCAUUAAUGUAGUCAAAUGUGGGUGGGGUUUGAUGCUGGCCCUAUCGGAGCACCGUGCUGCGCCCCCGACAUUCACAUUAACACCCGUGCACCCUUUAGGCGAGCGCGCCCUCCUUUGGCUAAAAGUCCGGCGUUUUCACGUCGGAUCGGGGCCGUGCUCUGUCUGAAAACACACACCUCAGCCUGUCUUGUAACGCAUGUAGACCGCCCCACGGGGUAACAAAAAGUUAAUACAACUUUCAACAACGGAUCUCUUGGCUUUCGCAUCGAUGAAGAAUGCCGCGAAAGUGCGAAACGUAAUGUGAAUUGCAGAAUUCAGUGAAUCAUCGAAUCUUUGAACGCACCUUGCGCUCCUUGGUAUUCCGAGGAGCAUGCCUGUUUGAGUGUCGUGACCCCCCUCGACCCGUCUCCUUUGCGGGAGCGGGCUCGGAUUUGGACGUCUGCGGGUCGUAUACGGCCCGCUCGUCUUUAAACGCAUUAGCUGGUUCCCAUGGUCAGGUCCAAGCGACGGUGUGAUAAACAUACACGCUUAGUGCGCCGUUUCGUUGCCGGCCGUGGGGGGACGCUUACAGUCGUCUUCGGACAAGCCUUUUCACGUCGUCUGACCUCAAAUCAGGUAGGACUACCCGCUGAACUUAA
rnacentral:rRNA from 1 species